UGGCUCAGAACGAACGCUGGCGGCAGGCCUAACACAUGCAAGUCGAGCGCCGUAGCAAUACGGAGCGGCAGACGGGAGAGUAACACGUGGGAACGUGCCCUUCAGUUCGGAACAACCCAGGGAAACUUGGGCUAAUACCGGAUACGUCCGUAAGGAGAAAGAUUUAUCGCUGAAGGAUCGGCCCGCGUCUGAUUAGCUAGUUGGUGGGGUAACGGCGCCACCAAGGCGAGGAUAAGUAGCUGGUCUGAGAGGAUGAUCAGCCUCACUGGGAUUGAUCUCUCGGCCCAUAGAACUACGGGAGGCA
rnacentral:rRNA from 2 species